UUGAUAGAGGUGCGGAUAAAAAGAGUAGCGCGGCGGACGUUCAAAAGAAUGUCGGGUGUUUUCGGAAACGGCGGCGCGAAAGGUGAAUCCGCCGAGGAACACGUGUUCCGAAACGCGCUGAUUCCGGUUGUGCGUGAAAUACGCGUAUGACUGUCAUCGACUUGCUUGAUGGAGCGCUAUCGC
rnacentral:ncRNA from 1 species